GCCAGCAGCUAUAUCACCCUGCAGCUCUCAAUUGGCUACCGAUUGAAGUUAAGCAUGGUUAAGCCUGGUAAGUAACUGGUUGGGAGACCUCCUGGGAAGCUAUGGUUGCUGCUAGAA
rnacentral:rRNA from 1 species